GGGCAAUUAGCUCAGUUGGUUAGAGCGCACGGUUCACAUCCGUGAGGUCACUGGUUCGAGCCCAGUAUUGCCCA
rnacentral:tRNA from 1 species